GAUGAACGCUGGCGGCGUGCCUAAUACAUGCAAGUCGAGCGAACGGACGAGAAGCUUGCUUCUCUGAUGUUAGCGGCGGACGGGUGAGUAACACGUGGAUAACCUACCUAUAAGACUGGGAUAACUUCGGGAAACCGGAGCUAAUACCGGAUGAUAUUUUGAACCGCAUGGUUCAAAAGUGAAAGACGGUCUUGCUGUCACUUAUAGAUGGAUCCGCGCUGCAUUAGCUAGUUGGUAAGGUAACGGCUUACCAAGGCAACGAUGCAUAGCCGACCUGAGAGGGGGAUGGGGCACACUGGAAGUGAGACACGGUCCAGACUCCUACGGGAGGCAGCAGUAGGGAAUCUUCCGCAAUGGGCGAAAGCCUGACGGAGCAACGCCGCGUGAGUGAUGAAGGUCUUCGGAUCGUAAAACUCUGUUAUUAGGGAAGAACAUAUGUGUAAGUAACUGUGCACAUCUUGACGGUACCUAAUCAGAAAGCCACGGCUAACUACGUG
rnacentral:rRNA from 1 species